rnacentral:rRNA from 1 species
CUGGCUCAGGACGAACGCUGGCGGCGUGCCUAAUACAUGCAAGUCGAACGCUUCUUUUUCCACCGGAGCUUGCUCCACCGGAAAAAGAGGAGUGGCGAACGGGUGAGUAACACGUGGGUAACCUGCCCAUCAGAAGGGGAUAACACUUGGAAACAGGUGCUAAUACCGUAUAACAAUCGAAACCGCAUGGUUUUGAUUUGAAAGGCGCUUUCGGGUGUCGCUGAUGGAUGGACCCGCGGUGCAUUAGCUAGUUGGUGAGGUAACGGCUCACCAAGGCGACGAUGCAUAGCCGACCUGAGAGGGUGAUCGGCCACAUUGGGACUGAGACACGGCCCAAACUCCUACGGGAGGCAGCAGUAGGGAAUCUUCGGCAAUGGACGAAAGUCUGACCGAGCAACGCCGCGUGAGUGAAGAAGGUUUUCGGAUCGUAAAACUCUGUUGUUAGAGAAGAACAAGGAUGAGAGUAACUGUUCAUCCCUUGACGGUAUCUAACCAGAAAGCCACGGCUAACUACGUGCCAGCAGCCGCGGUAAUACGUAGGUGGCAAGCGUUGUCCGGAUUUAUUGGGCGUAAAGCGAGCGCAGGCGGUUUCUUAAGUCUGAUGUGAAAGCCCCCGGCUCAACCGGGGAGGGUCAUUGGAAACUGGGAGACUUGAGUGCAGAAGAGGAGAGUGGAAUUCCAUGUGUAGCGGUGAAAUGCGUAGAUAUAUGGAGGAACACCAGUGGCGAAGGCGGCUCUCUGGUCUGUAACUGACGCUGAGGCUCGAAAGCGUGGGGAGCAAACAGGAUUAGAUACCCUGGUAGUCCACGCCGUAAACGAUGAGUGCUAAGUGUUGGAGGGUUUCCGCCCUUCAGUGCUGCAGCUAACGCAUUAAGCACUCCGCCUGGGGAGUACGACCGCAAGGUUGAAACUCAAAGGAAUUGACGGGGGCCCGCACAAGCGGUGGAGCAUGUGGUUUAAUUCGAAGCAACGCGAAGAACCUUACCAGGUCUUGACAUCCUUUGACCACUCUAGAGAUAGAGCUUCCCCUUCGGGGGCAAAGUGACAGGUGGUGCAUGGUUGUCGUCAGCUCGUGUCGUGAGAUGUUGGGUUAAGUCCCGCAACGAGCGCAACCCUUAUUGUUAGUUGCCAUCAUUUAGUUGGGCACUCUAGCAAGACUGCCGGUGACAAACCGGAGGAAGGUGGGGAUGACGUCAAAUCAUCAUGCCCCUUAUGACCUGGGCUACACACGUGCUACAAUGGGAAGUACAACGAGUCGCAAAGUCGCGAGGCUAAGCUAAUCUCUUAAAGCUUCUCUCAGUUCGGAUUGUAGGCUGCAACUCGCCUACAUGAAGCCGGAAUCGCUAGUAAUCGCGGAUCAGCACGCCGCGGUGAAUACGUUCCCGGGCCUUGCACACACCGCCCGUCAA